GAUGAACGCUGGCGGCGUGCCUAAUACAUGCAAGUCGAGCGAACGGACGAGAAGCUUGCUUCUCUGAUGUUAGCGGCGGACGGGUGAGUAACACGUGGAUAACCUACCUAUAAGACUGGGAUAACUUCGGGAAACCGGAGCUAAUACCGGAUAAUAUUUUGAACCGCAUGGUUCAAAAGUGAAAGACGGUCUUGCUGUCACUUAUAGAUGGAUCCGCGCUGCAUUAGCUAGUUGGUAAGGUAACGGCUUACCAAGGCAACGAUGCAUAGCCGACCUGAGAGGGUGAUCGGCCACACUGGAACUGAGACACGGUCCAGACUCCUACGGGAGGCAGCAGUAGGGAAUCUUCCGCAAUGGGCGAAAGCCUGACGGAGCAACGCCGCGUGAGUGAUGAAGGUCUUCGGAUCGUAAAACUCUGUUAUUAGGGAAGAACAUAUGUGUAAGUAACUGUGCACAUCUUGACGGUACCUAAUCAGAAAGCCACGGCUAACUACGUGCCAGCAGCCGCGGUAAUACGUAGGUGGCAAGCGUUAUCCGGAAUUAUUGGGCGUAAAGCGCGCGUAGGCGGUUUUUUAGUCUGAUGUGAAAGCCCACGGCUCAACCGUGGAGGGUCAUUGGAAACUGGAAAACUUGAGUGCAGAAGAGGAAAGUGGAAUUCCAUGUGUAGCGGUGAAAUGCGCAGAGAUAUGGAGGAACACCAGUGGCGAAGGCGACUUUCUGGUCUGUAACUGACGCUGAUGUGCGAAAGCGUGGGGAUCAAACAGGAUUAGAUACCCUGGUAGUCCACGCCGUAAACGAUGAGUGCUAAGUGUUAGGGGGGUUUCCGCCCCUUAGUGCUGCAGCUAACGCAUUAAGCACUCCGCCUGGGGAGUACGACCGCAAGGUUGAAACUCAAAGGAAUUGACGGGGACCCGCACAAGCGGUGGAGCAUGUGGUUUAAUUCGAAGCAACGCGAAGAACCUUACCAAAUCUUGACAUCCUUUGACAACUCUAGAGAUAGAGCCUUCCCCUUCGGGGGGGCAAAGUGACAGGUGGUGCAUGGUUGUCGUCAGCUCGUGUCGUGAGAUGUUGGGUUAAGUCCCGCAACGAGCGCAACCCUUAAGCUUAGUUGCCAUCAUUAAGUUGGGCACUCUAAGUUGACUGCCGGUGACAAACCGGAGGAAGGUGGGGAUGACGUCAAAUCAUCAUGCCCCUUAUGAUUUGGGCUACACACGUGCUACAAUGGACAAUACAAAGGGCAGCGAAACCGCGAGGUCAAGCAAAUCCCAUAAAGUUGUUCUCAGUUCGGAUUGUAGUCUGCAACUCGACUACAUGAAGCUGGAAUCGCUAGUAAUCGUAGAUCAGCAUGCUACGGUGAAUACGUUCCCGGGUCU
rnacentral:rRNA from 1 species